rnacentral:tRNA from 1 species
GAUUGUAGCUCAGCGGCAGAGCGCUUGCCUAGCAUGUAUGAGCCACUGGGUUCAAUCCUCAGUACAACA